rnacentral:lncRNA from 1 species
CAGUAUCUCAUCUACUAUAUUCAGACAUUAGGUCGCUUCCCUGAGAGUAAGCCCGUAGUAAGUGAAAGGUUCUCAGAAAGAUUAUCUCCUCCAUAACUGUCUUUUCCUCUGAGUUCUGAGAGUAGAGGUGCUUCCCCCGAGAGGGUAG